rnacentral:rRNA from 1 species
GACGAACGCUGGCGGCGUGCCUAAUACAUGCAAGUCGAACGCACAGUUUAUACCGUAGCUUGCUACACCAUAGACUGUGAGUUGCGAACGGGUGAGUAACGCGUAGGUAACCUGCCUGGUAGCGGGGGAUAACUAUUGGAAACGAUAGCUAAUACCGCAUAAUAUUGAUUAUUGCAUGAUAAUUGAUUGAAAGAUGCUAUUGCAUCACUACCAGAUGGACCUGCGUUGUAUUAGCUAGUAGGUGAGGUAACGGCUCACCUAGGCGACGAUACAUAGCCGACCUGAGAAGGUGGUCCGCCACACUGGGACUGGGACAAGGCCCAGACUCCUACGGGGGGCAGCAGGAGGGAAACUUCGGCAAUGGACGAAAGGCUGACCGAGCAACGCCGCGGGAGUGGAGAAGGGUUUCGGAUCGUAAAGGUCUGUUGUAAGAGAAGAACGGGUGUGAGAGUGGAAAGUUCACACUGUGACGGUAUCUUACCAGAAAGGGACGGCUAACUACGUG